AUUUAUUACCUCCAUUUACCUCCUCUUUGGCCUUCCUCUUUGGCCUUCCUCUUUGCCUGCUGCCUGGCAGCUCCAUGUCCAACAUUCUCCUACCAAUAUACUCACUCUCCCUCCUCUGAACAUGUCCAAACCAUCUUAAUCUGGCCUCCCUAACGUCCAACAUGAGCUGUCCCUAUUAUAUAUUAAUUAUAACUACAGGGAAACUCUGCUGUGGGAAAGAUAAUGUAAAUUUCCCGGAUCAAUGGAGAACUGUACCCUAAUAUAGAAGGUCGAUCCGGUUAUUAACCACCAUCUUAAACAUACCUCAUUUCUAGUGCUCCAUCAAGCCAGAAAACAGAAAUAAACCAUAUCCAUAUCCAGAGCUGUAGGCUGUGCCAUUUUUAAUUACUGAAUGAGAUUUAUUUGUGCUUUUCAUUUAUUAGUGAGAUUUAUCAUACACCGCAUCAAUAAUGUUUUCCCAAAAUGCUGCUCACCCUAACCCUAAUGUAUACCUAAUUCACUGACAGAAUUUUACUAGCACUGCAGAGUAAACAAAUAAAAUCUGAAUCACCAGGCCUUGCACUGUUUUUUUUUUUUUUUUUUUUUUUUCAGGAAUAAUUUAAGGUACUUUUCAGUAUGACUUUUUUAUUCAGUGGUAACGGUGGUUGUAGCAUGGUGGUGCAGUGGGUAGCAUUAUGGCCUCACUGCUCUAGGGGCUCUGGUUCAAUUCUCAGCUUCUGUGUGGACCUUUUAUGCAUUACCUCCCACCUCCCAAAACAUAUCAGUAGUUGUAAAAAUGGUGAAGUACAGCUCUGGCUGGUUUGAAUUAUAGUGGCCAAUUUUUCAAAAGCAGACACACAGAGCAAGCUGAGACAAUCCAAGUAUUACAGCAAUUCAUAUGAUAAUAUUCCAAGGAAAUUACAACAAUUUUUGAGGUAAAUCCUAUUAUAGUCCAGUGAUGAUUUCAAGAAAAGAUAAGUAGCAGGGUUUGUCAAAGUUACAAUUUAAAUAACUUAUAUUACCUCUCAUAAGACAAGCAUAGGAAUGAGCUAAAGCUGUUGUGUAAAGCACUUUUCUGAAAUUAAAAUAUGUAAAGCGUGGGUUAGCUAAACAACCAGGCCAGGGCUUUUGAUAACUUAAGGCACGGAAAGGUAGACCUAAAUGUUUUAUUUUUAUCAGUUUUAUUAAAAUAAAUUAAUAUUGGAAUGAAGAUCCCUCCAUACUUUUUUCUCUCUACAAUCUGGGAACACCUACACACACUCAGCCCCUGUGGCCUAUUGAUCACCGGCUCCACCCUCAUGAACCUGUUCCAUAUUCAAUGUAAUCACCACAGACUAUAAAAGGAUUUCCCAGGUUAGUCAUUCCUGGUGAGGUCUUGCAAUUUCGUUUGAUUGGGCACCGUUGAGCUGUUUGCAGUCUCUGUGUAAAUCCAGAGGACCGUGCUAGAAUGUUUGCUCAGGUAGUAUUCAGCAGUUUCUUCUGAGAAGAUUUUCCAGAGUCCUGGUGUUACACCCGUUGAACAACAAUGAUGAAAUGGGAGCCAAGAAUGUGCAAGUUUUUAUGUAUUUUUCCAUAAAUCAUUCAGAUGCAAUGUUAAUGGUAGAGUGUAAAACCUGACAAAUUAUGGUACAAUAAGUGCUUCAUUCAUUUUAUUGACACUCUGUCAUAACAUAUUGGAAAAAGGAAAGUGGCUCCUUUUACUCUAUCCCUCCUACUGUAAGUGCAACAUUAUUCAGUAAAGCCAAGUUUGCUUUUAAAAAAAUAAAUAAAA